rnacentral:rRNA from 1 species
GAUGAACGCUGGCGGCGUGCCUAAUACAUGCAAGUCGAGCGAACGGACGAGAAGCUUGCUUUUCUGAUGUUAGGCGGACGGGUGAGUAACACGUGGAUAACCUACCUAUAAGACUGGGAUAACUUCGGGAAACCGGAGCUAAUACCGGAUAAUAUUUUGCCCCGCAUGGUUCAAAAGUGAAAGACGGUCUUGCUGUCACUUAUAGAUGGAUCCGCGCUGCAUUAGCUAGUUGGUAGGGUAACGGCUUACCAAGGCAACGAUGCAUAGCCGACCUGAGAGGGUGAUCGGCCACACUGGAACUGAGACACGGUCCAGACUCCUACGGGAGGCAGCAGUAGGGAAUCUUCCGCAAUGGGCGAAAGCCUGACGGAGCAACGCCGCGUGAGUGAUGAAGGUCUUCGGAUCGUAAAACUCUGUUAUUAGGGAAGAACAUAUGUGUAAGUAACUGUGCACAUCUUGACGGUACCUAAUCAGAAAGCCACGGCUAACUACGUG